rnacentral:rRNA from 1 species
UACGUAGGGUGCGGGCGUUGUCCGGAAUUAUUGGGCGUAAAGAGCUCGUAGGCGGCCUGUUGCGUCUGCUGUGAAAUCCCGGGGCUUAACCCCGGGCGUGCAGUGGAUACGGGCAGGCUGGAGGCAGGGCAGGGGAGAAGUGGAAUUCCCGGUGUGAGCGGUGAAAUGCGCAGAUAUCGGGAGGAACACCGGUGGCGAAGGCGGUUCUCUGGGCCUGUUCUGACGCUGAGGAGCGAAGCGUGGGGAGCGAACAGG